rnacentral:rRNA from 1 species
CGCGAGGGGGAGCAAAUCACAAAAAUGCCAUCUCAGUUCGGAUUGUAGUCUGCAACUCGACUACAUGAAGCUGGAAUCGCUAGUAAUCGCGAAUCAGAAUGUCGCGGUGAAUACGUUCCCGGGUCUUGUACACACCGCCCGUCACACCAUGGGAGUCAGUAACGCCCGAAGUCAGUGACCCAACCGCAAGGAGGGAGCUGCCGAAGGCGGGACCGAUAACUGGGGUGAAGUCGUAACAAGGUAGCCGUAUCGGAAGGUGCGGCUGGAUCACCUCCUUUCUAAGGAA